rnacentral:rRNA from 1 species
UACGUAGGGGGCAAGCGUUGUCCGGAUUUAUUGGGCGUAAAGAGCGUGUAGGCGGCCAGGUAGGUCCGCUGUGAAAACUCGAGGCUCAACCUCGAGAUGUCGGCGGAAACCAUCUGGCUAGAGUCCGGAAGAGGAGAGUGGAAUUCCUGGUGUAGCGGUGAAAUGCGCAGAUAUCAGGAAGAACACCCGUGGCGAAGGCGGCUCUCUGGGACGGUACUGACGCUGAGACGCGAAGGCGUGGGGAGCGAACAGG